CCAUAACAAGAAUUUUGGUCGCACAGUUAUAUGGAAACAUUUUCAGGCACACAUACAACCACCUGGCAGUAUGCUUUGCGGACAAUAUGUGAUGUACCACAUGUUAUCCUUUGCGGAUAAUCUUAGUUUGGACCGUGAUCGAUAUCCUCAGGGUCGUGCUGGUUUUGCAACCUGUCCAUUAUUGCCUGAUGAGAUAGCAAAUGUCCGAGAACGGUUGCUCGACUUCUUCAUGAAUGAGGUGAUAGACAUUGGUGGAUCAUGCAGGGUUGAGGGUGCUUCAUAUAACUAAAUCUAGCAUGGCUUCCU